rnacentral:lncRNA from 1 species
AAAAUACAUUUCUUUUUUCAUUUAUAGAACUAAAAAACAACCCUCUAAUUUAAAAGACUACAAACAUAAUUAAUGAUAUGGAGAAAUUAGCUUUGAACUUCGUAGUUGCAAUAUAUGCAUGCCCUAGCAGAGUUGAAUUGGUGUAGAACGCCCAGAUGGGGGAACCAGUCCCCUACGCAACAUUCCAAAGUAGAUAUUGUUGAUUGAUAUGAACUUUGCGUUCGCAAACCAGCAGCACCAUAUUCCAUUGCCUGUUGCUGAAAAGCAUGUAGGUUUCUCGCCUCUGCACAAAGCAUCAUGAAACUCAAAGUUAUUAUUAGCACAAACACAAAGAUCAAAAGCUGCAUCUCCUUCGCCAUGUUUUUAUUUAUUGCUUCUCUUAUCGUACGUCGUUGCCUUAAAUAAGA